rnacentral:rRNA from 1 species
CAAAGGAGCAAUCCGCUGAAAGAUGGGCUCGCGUCCGAUUAGGUAGUUGGCGGGGCAACGGCCCACCAAGCCGACGAUCGGUAGCCGGACUGAGAGGUUGAACGGCCACAUUGGGACUGAGACACGGCCCAGACUCCUACGGGAGGCAGCAGUGAGGGAUAUUGGUCAAUGGGGGAAACCCUGAACCAGCAACGCCGCGUGAGGGAAGACGGUUUUCGGAUUGUAAACCUCUGUCCUCUGUGAAGAUGAUGACGGUAGCAGAGGAGGAAGCUCCGGCUAACUACGUGCCAGCAGCCGCGGUAAUACGUAGGGAGCAAGCGUUGUCCGGAUUUACUGGGUGUAAAGGGUGCGUAGGCGGCUUUGCAAGUCAGAAGUGAAAUCCAUGGGCUUAACCCAUGAACUGCUUUUGAAACUGCAGAGCUUGAGUGGAGUAGGGGUAGGCGGAAUUCCCGGUGUAGCGGUGAAAUGCGUAGAGAUCGGGAGGAACACCAGUGGCGAAGGCGGCCUGCUGGGCUCUAACUGACGCUGAGGCACGAAAGCGUGGGUAGCAAACAGGAUUAGAUACCCUGGUAGUCCACGCUGUAAACGAUGAUUACUAGGUGUGGGUGGACUGACCCCAUCC